rnacentral:rRNA from 1 species
UUGAACGCUGGCGGCAUGCUUUACACAUGCAAGUCGAACGGUAACAGGGAGCUUGCUCCGCUGACGAGUGGCGAACGGGUGAGUAAUGCAUCGGAACGUACCCAGUCGUGGGGGAUAACGUAGCGAAAGUUACGCUAAUACCGCAUACGUCCUGAGGGAGAAAGCGGGGGACCGUAAGGCCUCGCGCGAUUGGAGCGGCCGAUGUCGGAUUAGCUAGUUGGUGGGGUAAAGGCUCACCAAGGCGACGAUCCGUAGCGGGUCUGAGAGGACGACCCGCCACACUGGAACUGAGACACGGUCCAGACUCCUACGGGAGGCAGCAGUGGGGAAUUUUGGACAAUGGGGGCAACCCUGAUCCAGCCAUUCCGCGUGAGUGAAGAAGGCCUUCUGGUUGUAAAGCUCUUUCAGCAGGAGCGAAACGGUCGUUUUUAAUACAGACGGCUAAUGACGGUACCUGCAGAAGAAGCACCGGCUAACUACGU